rnacentral:rRNA from 3 species
UCGGGAAUUUUGCGCAAUGGACGAAAGUCUGACGCAGCAACGCCGCGUGAGGGAUGACGGCCUUCGGGUUGUAAACCUCUUUUGUCAGGGACGAUGAUGACGGUACCUGACGAAUAAGCCACGGCUAACUACGUGCCAGCAGCCGCGGUAAUACGUAGGUGGCAAGCGUUGUCCGGAUUUACUGGGCGUAAAGAGCGCGCAGGCGGUCGUUCAAGUCGCGUGUGAAAGCCCCCGGCUCAACUGGGGAGGGUCACGCGAUACUGAUCGACUCGAAGGCAGGAGAGGGUAGUGGAAUUCCCGGUGUAGUGGUGAAAUGCGUAGAUAUCGGGAGGAACACCAGUGGCGAAGGCGACUACCUGGCCUGUUCUUGACGCUGAGGCGCGAAAGCUAGGGGAGCAAACGGG